UGAAUCUGAACCCCAUUUGGGCUUAUGGUUGUUCACCAAAAAAUUUGCUCGCUAUUGUAGCUGGCAUUUGCUUUAAAAAGACAAGAAACGUGCUCCCUUCAUUUUGGGGGACUAUGUUCUAUAGCCAUUGUUAUUAGUCGGCUGGGUUGUGGGAGUUCUCUGAGCUUGUUUUUAUUUGCAGACAUUUUAUUACCUGCCUAGGUAACAUCUGGAGAAGAUCCUAGUACUAAGAUUUUAUGUAGGCUGAUAUCUGAAGCCCUUCCAGUACUUCAUUAACAUCUCUAUGUUGAACAGGAAAAAACCCUCCAUGCAGUGUUGAGGCAUAUCCCUGGGCUGCUGCUACAUCAGUCAGCUGAAUUUGACUUGGGGGCCAGGUGUCUGUCCCUUACCUGUAUCAUUCUGUUUAACUGGGACCUCAAAGGGUGCCCUGUGCAAACAAAAGUUUCCUUCAGGUAUCCUCUGUGUACCAGCCCUCCGACCCAGUACAUGAGAAGGGAACACAUGGCCUCCCUGGAAUU